GGGGGCCUCCGUGCUGGUCGCGGGUCCCGGCGCGAAGCCUUUCGGAAAGCUCCGCGGCCUGUGUGUUCUGCUUCCUCGGACGCGAGCUGCGUCCCAGUAGUGGAGGAAGGUUUUAUUUCGUUCAUCGCGGCCGUUUCUCGCUGCCUCCCUUGACGAGGCAGGACCUUCCCGCCCUCCGGCAGGUGCUGUUGGUCCCUGUGGCCGGGCCGCCGAGGCUGCCGGGAGGAGGGCGGCCUGGCCGUUCCCGGCGUGCCCCGGGCUCCUCGGAAGCGGCCUCCGCCCCUUCAGACGUCGGACCCGAGUUCCAAAUGUGCCCCGCGGUUUUCCCGCACCCUGGAUCCUAGGAGCCGCCUCUCGUUUUCGAAGUUCCUGUGCAGCGCUCCCCCGACAUUUUCGAGAAUCUUACCAGGACUGGGCACGGGUUUGCAGCCUCCGUUUUGCCCCCGCUUUUCGAACGCCGGAAUCUCGGCCCGGCCUGCCGGCCUGUGUUCUGCGGUGGGAUGUCUCCGGAGCACGGACGGACUGAACAUUCCCGUUACCGGGAGUGUAAUGGUUGCUGCGUCAGGACUCUUGAAAUGAUUUUUUUAUUUGGAACGAUACCAUAAUAUUUGGAAUUUUCUUAAAGGAGAAAAUAUAUAUUGCUUAAUUAUAUUGCUUGGAAUAUAUUAUUCCAAGGAAGAAGAAAGUAAGACCCUUUCUUCCCCCACCUCCAAACCCGCUCGCCGCCUGCCUUUCCCAUCAGCAUUAAUGGCGGCUGCAUUUACUCAGGCCAGAGCCGGAAGAGCCAGCUUCACUCUCACACCCUCGACACAACCUGACUGGAAAUCCUGUUGACGCUACCUUAAGUAUGUGUCUAGGAUGCAGCACCUCAACAUGUCCGCACCCCCUUCAUCCCUCGCCUGAGUACCUCGGUCUCCUGCCCUCCCUACGCUCCCAGUCGCCGGGUUUCCAUACGGCAGCCGCAGGGAUCCUGUGGGUUCUGUGCUCCACGCUGCACAGCGGCUCCUCAGUUUACCAAAGUCCUUACAAUGGCCGCAGAGCCGGCCAACCCGCUGGUUGCCUAGCUGUCUGACUUGAUGUCCGCGUCCUCUGGCCUCUGCACUGGCUGCUGUCUACUUGUAAAACCCCCCGUCCAGGCGUGUCCAGGACUGACCCCUUCAGCUCUCUCAAAUCUUCACUCCCAUGUCACCUCAGUGAGGCCUUUCCUGACCGACCUAUUUAAACGUGGCCCUGACCCAGAGCACUGCUAGUCUCCCUUGGCCUGCUCCACUCUUCCCACGACACUCACUCACCGCCUCCUAAAAUACUCGCUGUGUUUACCAUGUAUUGUUUGUCUCCCGCUACUAAAAUUUAAGUUCCCUGAGUGGAGGCACUUUUGACUUUUGAUUGCCUGCUGUAUCCAGGUGCCUGCAACAGUUGCCUGGCACAUAGUAGCAGCUCAGCACACAUUUGUGGAAUAAAUGAACGAAUGAAUGAACUUGAACAACUAUUUUCAUUGUAGAGUAUUCCCCUUCAGGCUUCUCUCACAUGGAAAUAUAUGAACAUAGUUACAAGCACAGUAUACAUAUUUUGCAUUAUGAUUUCUAAUACCAUACUUUACAUAUUUCUAAGUAUUUUCAUAAUUAUAACCAUUUUUACUUAAGUGACCUUCGAUUUUUCAUGCUUAUUAUAACAAGUCAUACAGAGUUGUGUAAACAAAAAAUUGUCUCCUGUCCCCCUCUCAUCCCACCCUGCUGAAAGGAACCACUGUUUUAAACUAGUGGAUAUCUUUCCAAAUAUUUUUAUACACAUACGCGUGCGCGCACACACACACACACAUAACAGGUACAAAUUUCACAGUUCAAAGACAGAUAUUCCUGAAUUGUAACUAUAAUUCGAGUCAAUUUGUAUUUUAGGUGUUUCCUCCCAUAGUAGAAAAAUGAAAUCUAGUUUAUUUAAGGUAAAUGUUAGUAUGUAAUGAUGUUUAUUUAUUAAUGGUCAGUUACAAUUUCAGUUGCUUCAGAAUUUACUAAUGCCCUUUUCACCAUAUAAUUGCCAGUUUUAAAACGUUGUUAUUAAAAAUGUGCAAUAAUUACAGGAAAAUAGAAAAUGAUAAAAUAAAAAAGCAAAAACCACCUGUAACUCCAGCAGCCA
ensembl:lncRNA